GGAAGUGAAAAAGGGGGAUGAAUGAUUGAAUGAGGUCGAGAAUCAAUUUUUUUACUGCCACUAUUCUUGUUUCUAUUGGUAUUUCUUUGUUUAUCUUUUUGUUUUUGCUUUUGUUUUUCUUCUACUUUUUCUACUUUUUCU
rnacentral:ribozyme from 12 species